CUUCAAUUAAGGUUAUAUGUAGUUAAAGGAAUUUUUCUCUUCAGUCUAUAUACCCAUCCUGAAUGUCCUUGCCUGUUAGUUCCUUGCAGGUGAAAGGUAAAAAAUCUUUGCAAAUUCAUGCUAUAAUUGUGCCUUUGAAUUUUCAGAGGAAAAGACAGUGAGAGAGCAAGAGCAGAUUGAGAAGCAGAAGACUGAGUCACAAAAAGAGAAAAGGACAGAAAUGGAGCACCCUGGUAUCAUAAAAUAAGCUUGAACUUGGGUUAAUUCCUCUUGGACUGAAUCGUAGCAACAUAAACCAAACUUUUCAAAAAGAUUGGAUGCAAAACUUUUACGGAAACAGGAAUUUUUAUCAACAUGAAGCAGGAUUUAAUGCAGGAAAAGAGAAUACAACCUGGAGGCUGUGCCUGUUGCUUCUACUCUCAUCCAUUGGCUGAACUUAGUAUCUGACCACACAUAGCUGCAAGGGGAGGCUAAGAACUGCAGUCUUUAUUUUAGAUGACUCAGCGCCUCACUGAAAAUUGAGGAUUUCGUUGUUCUAGAAGAGGUGAGUAGUUAUUACAGUUUAACUAGCAUUAUCCACACAGUGCUCACAAUUCUUUUAGAGGUCUACAAAGAGGCUUUAAUUUUAAUUUUUCUUAAAAUCAGAAGAAAAGGAAUAUGAUCAUAAUGGAUAUAUAAUAAUGAAUCCAGCCUGGAUUUCAUUUGCUUUUAUUCUAAUGCGGUCAUGAAAUAAAAUUUCUAAUGCUUUCUUGUAGAGGAGAAAGACCACAAAGGGAAAAUCCUAGGGCCACAAAGUCAUGAUGUGGCCCAAACCAUAGAGAUGUUAAUAAAAC
rnacentral:lncRNA from 1 species